AAUGUGCCUUUUGUGCAUUAUCAUGGAUUCUAGUUUUAAAACCACUGCUGUCAUUCUCUUACUCUUUAUAGGCAUUUGUGCAGCAGGAAGAGAUGCCAAAGGCUUCAGGAAUGUUGUAAACCCUACCAAGCCAUCAACAGAGGUGAUUGUGGAAAUGAAGAUGAGAGAUCUGACAGAAAUUGAUGCUUUUUUGGACUAUGAAAAGCCAAUACCAAAUCCUAGGCAUGAAAAGGGGAGGCCAGGUGGUGGUGCUAACAAGUGACUGCCUUUCCUUCCUUCAUUUCCCUACUAGCUGAUGUAACACCAAGAGGAGUAUGAGGAAGGUUAAUGUUAAAAUCAUUAUAUCCUAAAUAAAAUAAAGGUGAGAUGUUAAGUAGAAAUGUGCAAUUUCCUAUAUUGGAUGGAGAAACAGCACAUAUCAUAUGUCUAGCUAUCUAAUAAAGUUAUCAUCCAACAGAGAAGAAUGAGGGUAGUGACAAGAUACUAUUUUCUGGGGA